UACUACGGGAGGCAGCAAUGGGGAAUCUUGGACAAUGGGGGCAACCCUGAUCCAUCCAUGCCGCGUGAGUGAUGAAUGCCUUACGGUCGAAAAGCUCUUUCGCCUGUGAAGAUAAUGACGGUAGCAGGUAAAGAAACCCCGGCUAACUCCGUGCCAGCAACCACGGUAAUACGGAGGGGGUUAGCGUUGUUCGACAAUUACUGGGCGUAAAGCGCACGUAUGCUGAUCGCAAACUUGGGGGUGAAAUCCCGGGGCUCAACCCCGGAACUGCCUCCAAAACUAUCGGUCUAGAGUUCGAGAGAUGUGAGUGGAAUUCCGAGUGUCCACGUGAAAUUCGUAGAUAUUCAUAGGAACACCAGUGGCUAAGGCUGCUCACUGACUCGAUACUGUCGCUGAGGUGCGAAAAUGUGCGGAGCAAACAGGAUUUAAAACCCUGGCAGACCACACCCUAUACGAUGAAUGCCACUCUUCGGGUAGCAUGCUUUUCGGAGACACCCCUAUAGGAUCAACGGUUCCCCCG
rnacentral:rRNA from 1 species